rnacentral:rRNA from 1 species
AUUGAACGCUGGCGGUAUGCUGAACACAUGCAAGUCGAACGGUAACAGGCCUUCGGGCGCUGACGAGUGGCGGACGGGUGAGUAACGCGUAGGAAUCUGCCUCAUAGUGGGGGACAACGUGGGGAAACUCACGCUAAUACCGCAUCCGCCCUACGGGGGAAAGCGGGGGGCCUUCGGGCCUCGCGCUAUGAGAUGAGCCUGCGUUAGAUUAGCUAGUUGGUAGGGUAAAGGCCUACCAAGGCGACGAUCUAUAGCUGGUCUGAGAGGACGAUUAGCCACACUGCGACUGAGACACGGCCCAGACUCCUACGCGAGGCACGAGUGGGGAAGAUUGGACAAUGGGGGCAAGCCUGCUCCAGCAAUACCGCGUGUGUGAAGAAGGCCUGAGGGUUGUAAAGCACUUUCAAGGGGGAGGAAUACCUGGCGGUUAAUACCUGUCAGACUGCCAUUACCCAUACAAGAAGCACCGGCUAACUCCGUGCCAGCCGCCGCGGUAACAC